UGGUGUUUGACUUGUGGCCAUCCGCACGCGCGGACAGAGUUGCUAACGCGGUUCCCUGCAAGGUGAUGUGUCACAAAAUUAUUGAUCUCUAAACCUCAUAAAAAAGCAACAGCAAUCCGCGACACAACAGAGUGAGUAGAAAGUCGCUCUGGAGAAACGAAGGUUCACACCACAUCGAAUAAAUGCCAGAAAACUGCUCCUGCAUUCGACUGGAUGUAUGACCUGUCGUAGCGCCUUAACAUCUUUACUAAAUAAAUAUUCUACGUUCGGUAUUGCCGACAAGCGUUACUUCAGACGGCUAGUUGCAACCAUAAAACAAAGCCUGGUACGCCUGGUUUCGAAUCUAGACCACCGCAUGACCCUAAAUUUAGUGGAUAAACAGGGGACUCUGUCACUACGAUGACCUUUUAACAUCUUUCUUAUCAUAAUCAUAAAAUGUGCGAAGUAUGUCAUUCUGAACUUCAAGAUUUGUUCAACGUAAUUAGAUACAUAUCUAAUUACUAUGUAUACUACCUGAAAGUCUAAAUUGUUUCUAUAAAUCACUCUUGCUAGUAGCCUACCUUAGGUAAAAAGAGCUAUAAUCUAUGUUAUUUACGACAA